AACACCCAAGACCCAGUGAGGCAGACUCAAGUACUCUCAAACGCUUUGUCUGCAGGUUCCUACUUCUCUAAUUUAAUAGGGAAUUCUCAUCUAGUUUUCCUGAGUCUGUCCUACACAAACACAUUCUAACUCUGGACUAUUUUCUACCUUUCCUAGUACUGGAGAGCCACAGGGUGGUUCAUAUGAGACUGAGAUACUGGGGGUUAAGAGGACCCAGUUAAGAAAGCAAUAAGCCAUCUGCAGAUGUUUACGUAUGAAAUCCAGCACAGGGAAAACAUUUGCACUGCGGAGCAGAUAAGAUAAUUGAAAAUGAAAUUGCAAGAUAAGGUGUUUGACAGGGUGGAGGGAAGCCACACGGUGGAGGAAAAUCCAUCCCCGUGACUCCUGGUCCUUUCUCCUCCCUGCUCAUUGCUGUUCGCCUCUUCCUGGAUUCCAGAGCCUGGUUUAUUCCUCAGCAGCCUCCCAACAGACCGGUGGAUUCAGUCGCAGCUGGAAAUAGUGGAAGUGUGGAUUGUUUCAGGAAGAGAAGAAAGGAGAGUUUAAGUAUUGCUUUAGCAGCAGAUGGCUUUGCUUCAGAUUCUUUCAAGCACAAAGGAGAUGUGUGUGCUGGCUUGGUAAUCAACUCAAAACGGGAAAAGAUCAAUUGUUAAAGGCAGUGUGGAUUUGACUUGAAUUUUGCAUCAGGUAAGAAGUCAGAAAAUCCAUGCAACUGUGGCAAAAGUUACUGAAAUACAGCUUUUGAAGGAUUGUCGUAGUCUGUACAUCCUGUAUUUAAAACUGAAUAGAAAAUCUCCUCCACAUUUUAUCUGUGCACCACUUUGGAACUGAAUAAACAGAUGAUGUUUGCAACUGAAAUAUUCACUGGCCACUCUGAAGGGAUGGGGCUAUGCAUCUUUAACAUAGUAAUGUUUCUGCAUCCAGAGGAAUGAAACAAGUAGGUUAAUUUUAUCAUUUCCUCAUCAUAUACUCUUAGUAUAGUAAGGAAUCUUUAUCCAAAUGCAUGGAUUAUGGAUGGAAGUAAUUGGUUCUCUUAUUAAACAAUCCGGCUCUGAUAUCAGCUGUAGUUGUGGUUCAAGGAUACUGAUUCCACUAAUAUUUAAUAGCUUAAACCAAUGCCAGUAUGUAUUACAAUAUAGUUCAUCAUGCUGCAGUAAGUACUUGUGUAACUUAUUUACCUAAUGCUGUGAAUACUCCAGAUUUUUAAACAGGACAAGUGUUAUAGUUUUAUUACCAAAGAAAUGUUUAAAUUGCCUUGCAGGAUGACAUGUACUAAAGCUACACUU